AUGAUGGGCCGCCCGGCGUCCGCGUGCGGCUCCGUCGCCGCCGCGCGGGAGGCCAGCCUCCGCCUCCGCCACCGCGGGCCUCGACUGCGCCGGGACGAGCUUCCUCCCUCGCCCAGAUCUGCCCGGCGCCGCGCCCUCUCCCCCGCCGCGUCCCCCGUCUCCGACCUUCGGGACGCCCUUCUUCACCGCCUCCACCUCCGCCGCGCGGCGCACGCUUCGCCGCCGCCGUCUGUGCCUCGGGGGAUCGGGCCGCUCCCCCCCGCCUGCGCAGCCCCGGAGUUGCUCGACCGGCUUGACUUCCUUGAAGCCCGCCCGCCUCCCUCGUCGCCUCAGUCUCCGCAGCGCGUGGCGCGCUCCCCUACUUCCGCAUCCCCCGCGCAGGAGGCUCUCCGCGCGGCGCGCUCUUCUCCGCCUCGAUGGAUCGAGAACCUCUUCUCCGCCCACCUUGCUUCCGCGGCACCCACCGUGCUGGGGCCCCGCCGCUGCCGUCGCCGUCUCGGCGUCGGCGUUGAGGAAACCUCACGGCGCUGCGCGUUCUCCCCUGCUUCCGCACGCCAAGCUCCAGGCCCCUCGCACAUGGGAUUGGGAGUGGGGCUCCCUCCGCCGCUGCCGUUCACGUUCUCGUGCUCGCCGUUACUCACACAUCGGAUGAAUUCGAUGGCUUUGCUGCCGGCCUCCCUUGCUGUGCUGCCCCCUGAAAAACCAGAUGAAGAAGAAAUUUCAGGGCCAGUUCUAAUCAUCACUAAUCUGGAACUUCCGAGAAGCAUUCUAUUUUCUCCAUACACGAUGAAAGCAUUCACUAGUAGUUUGCCAGUUGGCACCGCAGAUGUGCUAUAUUCAAAUGGAUAUUUUUUUCUGCUCAAAGAAGGCACUUAUGUUUCGCUGUGGGAAGUGAAGUCAGAGAAGCGUUUACUGAACUUCCAUGUGGGGAUGGAAAUUGAACAGGGUUAUUUCAAUGGAACCCCUGGUUCAGAUCUUACUGUAGUGCUCGCUAGGCAAAGGAUAUUUGCUGAAGUAGAUGCUGAUGAUAAUGCAGAUGAAGGUGGUGGAGAAGCAGAUAUCGUCACUGAAUUUUGGCUAAGAAGAAUGGAUGGUGUUUGGCAGCAGAAUGCUGUAGUAUGCGGACAUUUAGGCAUACACAGCCUCAUCAUCCACCAAAAUGCUUUGUUUUGGUUAUCCAACAAUGGAUGUCUCUGCUCGGUGACGCAGGAGGAAGAUGGUCUACUACUCCCUCCGUUCCGAAUUAGUUGUCUUAGAUUUGUCUAG
rnacentral:rRNA from 1 species